UGGGCUUCGUUACACGCUUCUUCUGCGGCCCAUCGACCACAAGCAUAUACGGAUUCCUAAUCAAUCGAUACAUUCUCGUUCGUGUUCUUCGUUCGUCUUCGAUCGUCAGAUUCUGUAACGGUGUUUUGUGGUUUAAUCGUCUUUCUUCGUCAUACCACUACGAAUCUACCUCUUGCCUGUUCGUCUGCUAGAUCGUGAAUAAAUACGCUGUAAUCUAACCGACGCGAAUCGCUCUAUCUACACUUUUGCUGGGCGGUGCUCAUUCGUUGUGGAGGCGAGACUGCUUCGAUUCUGGGAGGCUAAAAACGUUAAGCGUGGUGGAGAGCUGAUGUGGAUGGAUCUGCUCAUGGUCGAUGUCAACGUUAAAGCUAUGUCACAUCAGGGAAGCACGGUGAGUCUCCAUAGCCGUUUCCUCUGCUUCCGGAGAUUUGUGUACAGAAAGCUGAAGCUGGAUGGGCUCAUUAUGUGGCAGUAACAGAGAGCCAUGAAGUUUAUACGUGGGGAUGGAAGGAAUGUAUACCCACAGGAAGAGUGUUUGGACAAGUAGAAGGAUAUUCGUGUGAAAUGAACAUCUCCUUCUCUGCAGAGCAAGUGUUAAGAGAGAGAAAGUGAUGAAGACAAGUCGUGAUACCACUAUGACAGUUAAAAAGUGAUCGUUCAGGUUCACUGACUCGGUAGAGACAACAAGUGAAAAUUUUGGAGAUGAUGAACACAUCUCUCGCGGCGGCGAGAUGCAGCGGAGGUUCCGGUUCGGUUAAGGCAUGUGCUUCUUCCUAGGCUGGAGAGAGGUGAUGAAUCAGAAGAUGAACAGCCAACUGUCACCUGACUUUGUAGCGCUUUGUCAAUGCUCUUGAUGAAUAAUCUAAUGAUACCCUUCCAGAUCUAAUACAGAAGGCUUUUAAGACAAGCAAAUCAUAACAGUGGAUGAUUGAAGCAACUUGACACGAACAGUGAUCCAGGAAGCUCCACUAUUCUAUUAGACUAUCGUCUAUACACAAUGGUGAAGACUAAAGGGUUUAGCUUGGAUUUGUGUGGCUGUUCAUUGGUUAAUGAAGCUAAAAAGGAAUCUUUUUGGUAGUAGUUUUGAUGUCUCAGACUCGGAUUUGACCUUUGAGAUGAAUGCUCCUUCUCAAAGGACUCGAGUAGGAAGAGCAGUAAAACCAACUCAGAAGUUGGACCAUGGUUAGAUGGACCCCUGGUGAGAAAGCUCCUUACCACCUUUAUAGGAAAUUCUACAUAAUUCUCAUUUAUUUGUUAUCUAGCAAUUGUAAACUUUGGGUUCUUUCAAAUUUAAUACAUCUGGUUCUUCGUUUCCUCUUUUCAUAA